UCCAAGAUGGCGGAGAUAUGCAACUAGCCCAUACGGCGAAAUAAAGUGUAUAAUCUUACUCAUAAAAUGGCGUUUGUAAUAUCAUAUCGUUUUAUAAUUACAUGUAUUUGCUGUGUGCGCAUAAACUUUUCUCAAGGACAUUUCCUUUCACUCACGAUGCGGAACAGACGAGGAUGUCUUUUAAUUUCUAUAUGGGAAAUCUAAAAAAGAGAUACUUUCUUCCACUCGCGAUGGGGAGAAGACGGGGAAUUAGUUUUUUAUCAAAGGAAAAUACCACAAGUAACGUUAAGUGAUUUAACGUACCUCGUUUACAUGUAUUUUAUAACAUGAUAUUACUUUAUGGUGAUAUUUAAAUGCUCUGCGCGCGUCUAACGGUUCCUCACAGAUUUGAACUGCUGUUCAGCAGACCACGAUGGCGCAGACGCGGAAAAGACCAGAAAGAGAUAUUUUCUUUCACUCACAAAGCGGAGCAGACGGGGAAGUUGAUUAACAAGGAAAACACGGAAAAUGGAAACUGCAGAGAACCACAUCCUGUCGUCCUGAAAAAAAGAAAGAGACUACUUUCUCCAUAGAGGUCCAAACGCCAUUGGCACAGACUUUGUUCAGUGAUCAGUAGCAUACAUUCAGCCAGGGCCGGCCCCAGGGGGUGCAACUGAUGCAGUCGCACCAGACUCCACACUUGAGGGGUAAACGGACUGAAUGAGCCCCACCCCCCGGGAAUGCUUCCUAAUUCUCAAUAAGAGCUUCUCUAGAUGUCUGACAGAAAUAAAGUCACAGAACCUUGUAAGGAGGAUCUGUGAACGUCUAUAUCGGACGUUCAGAAGACAUAAAAAACAUAAAAAAAAAGACGUCAUAAAAACUUUCUGUCUCCUCAGUGGACGUCUUUUCAACGUCUGCAAAGACAUAAAAAGACGUCCACUGGACGUAACUUUGCCCAGUGGAUUAGGUUGAUGUUAAAAUACGCAAUAUAGUAAUUUUCACGCAAUAGUUCCUUUAAAAACAAACAAAAAUGUUAAAUACGUGUGACUUCUUGCCACAAGACUGCUAACGUAUGAAGGUAUAAUUAACACUGGAUUUAAUUAUGUACCAUGUGUUGAGUUCAGUGUAAAAUGCAUUGAGUAAAGAAGUUAAUAUACAAGACUUGGUAUGUCCUUGUGCUUUGGACACAAACUUUCAAUAAUAAAAAAAAAGUUAUU